rnacentral:rRNA from 1 species
AUUGAACGCUGGCGGCAGGCUUAACACAUGCAAGUCGAGCGGAGAUGAGGUGCUUGCACCUUAUCUUAGCGGCGGACGGGUGAGUAAUGCUUAGGAAUCUGCCUAUUAGUGGGGGACAACAUUCCGAAAGGAAUGCUAAUACCGCAUACGUCCUACGGGAGAAAGCAGGGGAUCUUCGGACCUUGCGCUAAUAGAUGAGCCUAGGUCGGAUUAGCUAGUUGGUGGGGUAAAGGCCUACCAAGGCGACGAUCUGUAGCGGGUCUGAGAGGAUGAUCAGCCACACUGGGACUGAGACACGGCCCAGACUCCUACGGGAGGCAGCAGUGGGGAAUAUUGGACAAUGGGGGGAACCCUGAUCCAGCCAUGCCGCGUGUGUGAAGAAGGCCUUAUGGUUGUAAAGCACUUUAAGCGAGGAGGAGGCUACUGAGACUAAUACUCUUGGAUAGUGGACGUUACUCGCAGAAUAAGCACCGGCUAACUCUGUGCCAGCAGCCGCAGUAAUAC